GAUGAACGCUAGCUACAGGCUUAACACAUGCAAGUCGAGGGGAAACGAUAUUGGAAGCUUGCUUCUGAUAGGCGUCGACCGGCGCACGGGUGAGUAACGCGUAUCCAACCUGCCCAUCACUUGGGGAUAACCUUGCGAAAGUAAGACUAAUACCCAAUGACGUCUCUAGAAGACAUCUGAAAGAGAUUAAAGAUUUAUCGGUGAUGGAUGGGGAUGCGUCUGAUUAGCUUGUUGGCGGGUAACGGCCCACCAAGGCGACGAUCAGUAGGGGUUCCUGAGAGGAAGGUCCCCCANAUUGGAACUGAGACACGGUCCAAACUCCUACGGGAGGCAGCAGUGAGGAAUACGUUGGUCAAUGGACGAGAGUCUGAACCAGCCAAGUAGCGUGCAGGAUGACGG
rnacentral:rRNA from 1 species